rnacentral:misc_RNA from 1 species
ACUCUGUGAACAUUUACUUGUUUGGCUGCGCGCACCGUUUCGGUUGCGAGCGGCCGCUAUAAAAAAACACCUUUUUAAUUAUAUCUGACAACCAGAAAUUCAAAAUUAUCAAUAACGGAUCUCUUGGUUCUCGCAUCGAUGAAGACCGCAGCAAAGCGCGAAAGAUAAUGUGAAUUGCAGACGUGAAUCAUUGAGUUGUUGAACGCAUAUUGCACUUUUUUUAACGAAAAAGUAUACUUUUGCGAGCGUCAUUUCUCUCUCCACCUUGAGUGGGUAUUGGUGCUGUACUCAGCGCUGAAAGCGAUUAUGUGUAUGUGUUAACCACAAUGUGCACUCAUUUUUAAACUAUUGACCUCGUAUAAAGUAAGAGUACCCGCUGAACUUAAGCAUAUCAAUA